AAGUCGUAACAAGGUUUCCGUAGGUGAACCUGCGGAAGGAUCAUUAAAGUUGGGGUCGCUUAGGCGGCCGGAUUACAUUUAUUUUUUUCCUUUUUUUUGGCGUGAUUUUAGAUUUUUGCUCCGAUUUUGUUUCGCACAAGGUAGGGAACAUAUAACGAGAAAACAAUAAAAAGAAUGAAAAAAAAAAAUAUAAAAAUAAUCCCCCCACCGACGCACUUAUCGAAAGGACUUUUUAAACCAAAUCUUUGACUAAAUUUUUGACUGACCUUUACUUUUAACGAGUAAAAAAAAAACUUAAUACAACUUUCAACAACGGAUCUCUUGGCUCUC
rnacentral:misc_RNA from 1 species